rnacentral:rRNA from 1 species
UACGUAGGGCGCAAGCGUUGUCCGGAAUUAUUGGGCGUAAAGAGCUUGUAGGCGGUUUGUCGCGUCUGCCGUGAAAAUUCGAGGCUCAACCUCGAACUUGCGGUGGGUACGGGCAGACUAGAGUGUGGUAGGGGAGACUGGAAUUCCUGGUGUAGCGGUGAAAUGCGCAGAUAUCAGGAAGAACACCCGUGGCUAAGGCGGCUCUCUAGUACGGUACUGACGCUGAGACGCGAAAGCGUGGGGAGCGAACAGG